rnacentral:other from 1 species
UGCUCCCUGCGGUGUGCGAUGCAGGUUGGAUAGUCUUUCGACCCUAAAUCUUGACCUUGGGGUUUUGUUCUGUCGGUGGUGUUGUGCAGAUCUGGUUCUGCCAGAAAGCCUACAACUAUCACGGCUUACCCCACCUAUUGCUCUGGUUCGAGAGCAACCAACUGUGACGGCACUAUUGGGGGGCAC